GAUGAACGCUAGCGGCAGGCCUAACACAUGCAAGUCGAGGGGCAGCACGAUUAGUAGCAAUAUUAAUUGGUGGCGACCGGCGCACGGGUGCGUAACACGUAUGCAAUCUACCUUAUACAGGGGCAUAACUUCGAGAAAUCGUUGCUAAUUCCCCAUAACACUAUUUUGUGGCAUCACAGGAUGGUUAAAGUUCCAACGGUAUAAGAUGAGCAUGCGUCCAAUUAGCUAGUUGGUGAGGUAACGGCUCACCAAGGCUACGAUUGGUAGGGGUUCUGAGAGGAUGAUCCCCCACACUGGUACUGAGACACGGACCAGACUCCUACGGGAGGCAGCAGUGAGGAAUAUUGCGCAAUGGACGAAAGUCUGACGCAGCCAUGCCGCGUGA
rnacentral:rRNA from 1 species